UACGGAGGGGGCUAGCGUUGUUCGGAAUUACUGGGCGUAAAGCGCGCGUAGGCGGCUUUGUAAGUUAGAGGUGAAAGCCCGGGGCUCAACUCCGGAACUGCCUUUAAGACUGCAUCGCUAGAAUUGUGGAGAGGUGAGUGGAAUUCCGAGUGUAGAGGUGAAAUUCGUAGAUAUUCGGAAGAACACCAGUGGCGAAGGCGACUCACUGGACACAUAUUGACGCUGAGGUGCGAAAGCGUGGGGAGCAAACAGG
rnacentral:rRNA from 1 species